GAUGAACGCUGGCGGCGUGCCUAAUACAUGCAAGUCGAGCGAACGGACGAGAAGCUUGCUUCUCUGAUGUUAGCGGCGGACGGGUGAGUAACACGUGGAUAACCUACCUAUAAGACUGGGAUAACUUCGGGAAACCGGAGCUAAUACCGGAUAAUAUUUUGAACCGCAUGGUUCAAAAGUGAAAGACGGUCUUGCUGUCACUUAUAGAUGGAUCCGCGCUGCAUUAGCUAGUUGGUAAGGUAACGGCUUACCAAGGCAACGAUGCAUAGCCGACCUGAGAGGGUGGUCCGGCCACCCGGAACCUAGCACCCGUCCCGACCUCCUACGGAAGGCGGAGUUGGGAAUCUUCCGCAAUGGGCGAAAGCCUGACGGAGCAACGCCGCGUGAGUGAUGAAGGUCUUCGGAUCGUAAAACUCUGUUAUUAGGGAAGAACAUAUGUGUAAGUAACUGUGCACAUCUUGACGGUACCUAAUCAGAAAGCCACGGCUAACUACGUG
rnacentral:rRNA from 1 species